rnacentral:misc_RNA from 1 species
UCGAAGCCUAGAAAGCACGACCGCGAACGAGUUUAAAUCCGAGGGAUGCGUUGGGAAGCUCAUGCUGCCCGUGCUCCCCGAUCGGCGGCGGGAGGCCUAAUAACCUUUUGUCCUCGAUAUUAACGAAUCCCGGCGCGGCAAGCGCCAAGGAAUCAAAACGAAAGGACAUGUCCCGCGAAUCCGUCCGCGGGUUCGAGAGGCAUGCGUCUGUUCAGAUAAGUCAUAACGACUCUCGGCAACGGAUAUCUCGGCUCUCGCAUCGAUGAAGAACGUAGCGAAAUGCGAUACUUGGUGUGAAUUGCAGAAUCCCGUGAACCAUCGAGUCUUUGAACGCAAGUUGCGCCCGAAGCCUUUAGGCCGAGGGCACGUCUGCCUGGGCGUCAUGCACUGCGAUGCCCCCGCCACAGCGCGGGGCGAAGCGUGGCCUCCCGUGAGCCAACUCGCGGUUGGCUUAAAAGCGAGCCUCGAGACGGAGAGACGUCGCGACAAGUGGUGGUUUCGAGGCUGCGUGCCUUUGAGCAUUGCAAGUCGCGUGUCAUCCACACUCAACGCUCUAAAGUAACCUAUAUGGGGCGCGUACAUCGCGCCGCCAGCAUC